rnacentral:rRNA from 1 species
GAUGAACGCUAGCGGCAGGCUUAAUACAUGCAAGUCGAGGGACAGCACAGGUAGCAAUACUGGGUGGUAACCGGCAAACGGGUGCGGAACACGUACACAACCUUCCUUUAAGUGGGGGAUAGCCCAGAGACAUUUGGAUUAAUACCCCGUAAUAUAGUUGAAUGGCAUCAUUUGAUUAUUAUAGCUACGGCGCUUAAUGAUGGGUGUGCGGCUGAUUAGAUAGUUGGCGGGGUAACGGCCCACCAAGUCUACGAUCAGUAGCUGAUGUGAGAGCAUGAUCAGCCACACGGGCACUGAGACACGGGCCCGACUCCUACGGGAGGCAGCAGUAAGGAAUAUUGGUCAAUGGACGCAAGUCUGAACCAGCCAUGCCGCGUGAAGGAUUAAGGUCCUCUGGAUUGUGAACUUCUUUUAUUUGGGACGAAAAAGGGCCUUUCUAGGUCAACUGACGGUACCAGAUGAUAAGCACCGGCUAACUCCGUGCCAGCAGCCGCAGUAAAAC